AUUGAACGCUGGCGGCAGGCUUUACACAUGCAAGUCGAACGAGUGGCGAACGGGUGAGUAUUAUAUCGGAACGUACCGAGUAAUGGGGGAAAACCAAUCGAAAGAUAGGCUAAUACCGCAUAUUAUUCGAGCGGCCGAUAACUGAUUAGCUAGGUGGGGGGGUAAAGGCCUACCAAGGCGACGAUCAGUAGCGGGUCUGAGAGGACGAUCCGCCACACUGUGACUGAGACACGGCCCAGAAUCCUACGGUAGGCAGCAGGGGGGAAUGUUGGACUAUGGGUGCAAACCUGAUCCAGCCAUGCCGCGUGUAUGAAGAAGGCCUUCGGGUUGUAAAGUACUUUUGUUAGGGAGGCGUUACCUAAAGAAGAAGCACCGGCUAACUACGUGCCAGCCGCCGCGGUAAUUC
rnacentral:rRNA from 1 species